rnacentral:rRNA from 1 species
ACCUACGGGGGGCAGCAGUAGGGAAUUUUCGUCAAUGGGCGCAAGCCUGAACGAGCAAUGCCGCGUGAACGAGGGAGGUCUUCGGAUCGUAAAGUUCUGUUGAAGGGGAAAAAGAGCGGAGAGAGGAAAUGGUCUCCGAUUGAUAUUACCCUUCGAGGAAGUCACGGCUAACUACGUGCCAGCAGCCGCGGUAAUACGUAGGUGGCGAGCGUUAUCCGGAAUGAUUGGGCGUAAAGGGUGCGUAGGCGGCCUGCUAAGUCUGGAGUGAAAGGUACCGGCUCAACCGGUACAGGCUCUGUAAACUG